UUAGAAAAUUGGAUGAUCACUUGAGUAUUUAUAUUCGAGAGGAAAGUCCGGACACUCCUUAUAUGGCAACGUAUAUUGAAAACGAGCGUCGCUAACGGCGACCGGAAUAUGUAUUGGGAAUCAAGGAAUUGGAGAAUCUUUAAGUCUAACUUAAUCAUCCCCUGCCUCCUGAUUAAAUCUAGGGAAAGUGCCACAGAGACAAUACUAGCCAAGCCUAGCUUGGUGAAAGGUGAAAAGUUUGGUGAGGUCGUUUACGGCUACACCGAUCGCCCUGCGGUGACGCAGUGGUGUGGUAAACCCGCUUAGGUGCAAGAACAAAUUUGGUAGUUUGCUAGAGAUAUUUGGCAACAAAUAUCGCAGAUAGAUGAUCAUCGUCCGGCUCCGCCGGAUACAAAAUCCGGCUUAUAGAUUUUCUAAGUGC
rnacentral:RNase_P_RNA from 3 species